AUGGCGCCUGCCUGCCACCUAUCGGCUGCCGCCGUCGUCGUGGCGCUCCUCCUGCUCGCCGGCGGCCGGGGCGCCGAGGCGGGGGCGGACACGAGCGACUGCCGCGUCGCGCAGAUCGCGUUCGGCGAAUGCACCGACUACAUCACCAGCUUCGAGGACGGCCCGGUCCUGGUCUUCCCCCAGCCCCGCUGCUGCAAGGGGCUCCGCACCAUCAGCGACUUGGCAACCACCAGUACCAGGGAACAGCGGCGGGAGCUCUGCGAGUGCGUGCGCUCGGUCAUGGUCGCCGCCGGCAACCUGAACCCCCGCCACGUCGAGAUGCUCCGCUACGGUGCCGGGUGCGCCUUCAGGGCCGACUUCCUCCCAUCCCCCUCCUCCAACUACAGCUGCUCCCGGUACGUGUUCGUCUCUACUACAUAUAGUCGCUAUAUAUCUACUCCCUCCGUUUUUAAAUAUUUCUAA
rnacentral:rRNA from 1 species